UACAGAGGUCCCUAGCGUUAUCCGGAUUUAUUGGGUUUAAAGGGUGCGUAGGCGGGUUCUUAAGCGUGAGGUGAAAUGCUCCGGCUCAACCGGAGAACUGCCUCGAGGACUGGGGACCUUGAAUGACACUGCCGUGGGAGGAAUGUGUGGUGUAGCGGUGAAAUGCAUAGAGAUCACACAGAACACCGAUUGCGAAGGCAUCUCACGAAGUGUUGAUUGACGCUGAGGCACGAAAGCGUGGGGAUCAAAC
rnacentral:rRNA from 1 species